GUAGGUGAACCUGCGGAAGGAUCAUUAUUGAAUAAACCUGAUGUGGUUGUUGCUGGCUCUCUCGGGAGCAUGUGCACGCCCGUCAUCUUUAUAUCUCCACCUGUGCACCUUUUGUAGACCUGGGGAUUGAGCAAUCAAUCGUUGGGCCUACGUUUAUCAUAUACCCCAUAGUAUGUAUUAGAAUGUCUCAAUGGGCUUCGUGCCUAUAAACACUAUACAACUUUCAGCAACGGAUCUCUUGGCUCUCGCA
rnacentral:misc_RNA from 1 species